UACGGGGGGGGCAAGCGUUGUUCGGAAUUACUGGGCGUAAAGGGCUCGUAGGCGGCCAACUAAGUCAGACGUGAAAUCCCCAGGCUCAACCUGGGAACUGCGUCUGAUACUGGAUGGCUUGAAUUCGGGAGAGGGAUGCAGAAUUCCAGGUGUAGCGGUGAAAUGCGUAGAUAUCUGGAAGAACACCCGUGGCGAAGGCGGCUCUCUGGUACGUGACUGACGCUGAGACGCGAAAGCGUGGGGAGCAAACAGG
rnacentral:rRNA from 1 species